rnacentral:rRNA from 1 species
UACGAAGGGAGCUAGCGUUGUUCGGAAUCACUGGGCGUAAAGCGCGCGUAGGUGGCUUUGCAAGUCAGAGGUGAAAUCCCAGGGCUUAACCCUGGAAUUGCCUUUGAUACUGCUAAGCUUGAGUACUGGAGGGGAUGGUGGAAUUUCUAAUGUAGCGGUGAAAUGCGUAGAUAUUAGAAGGAACACCGGUGGCGAAGGCGACCAUCUGGACAGUCACUGACACUGAGGCGCGAAAGCGUGGGGAGCAAACAGG